AGUGUUUAAAAUAUGAUUUUAUGUUUUUAAUGAGAUUAAAGAAAGAGAAACUUGAGUAGUCAAGUAUUGGACCCAAAUGUCAUAUAAUUUUAAUUGGGGAUUUUUAUAAAAUUAAGAAAGUUUGGCUAAAGGGCUUAUUUGAAAAGAAUUUUAGUAUUUUGGGUCCAAGUGUAAUUUUUAAAAAUAAAUAAAUAAAAAAAAUAAAAUAAAAUAAAAGGCUUCAGCCUUUCAUUUUACCCGAGCCCCUCUCUCUCUCUCCUCAGAAACUCUCUCUCUCUCUCUCUCUCUCUCUCUCUCUCUCUCUCUGCGUGUUACUGUUGCCGACGACGCAGGAGUACUUUCCGGCCACCAUUUUUAGCCACGCGCCGGACCGUUGGAUUCAGAGGCCUCCGAACUAUCAACCCACGCGGGAAUCUAGAGCUCACUCGCCGAUUAAACGCCUCAACCACUCGAUUUAAGUUCGGCCACCCCGCGACUUCAAAGUUGCGAUUCGGCCACCUCGGGCAUCCGUUUGCCGAUCCGUCACCACCAUCGUGCUCCUCGUGUUGUGGGCUUCAAAACCCAAUAACUUGUUCCUACAUCUACCAUAGUUGGGUGGUGGGCCCACCACGAGCCACCGCGAUCCACCGUAGAUCGACGGUCGAAACUUAGUGUUCGAGGUUUCGAAGUACGUUUUGAGUCUCAGAAAAUCAUCGUUUGACUUAUUGUGGAACCCGAUCAUUUUGGAUUUGUAUGGAUUUGAUUGAUUGACUCUUGGUGAGGAAUUUUAAAAUAAGCUAAGGACCUAAGGUGUGGCUUUAGCUGUUGAGCAACUUGUGGAGCACGGACUCAGUAGCAAUGCAAUAAUGGUUUAGAGUUUUCAUAUGGCUGCCUUAAAUUUAAAGUAUUCAUACGUGUAAUAAUUUCUUCUAAUAAGUUUAUAUAAAAGUUUUAAAUUUUUCUGUAUUUCUUCGUAUCAUUUUAUUUAAUUCUUUUGGUCAAGUGCCUUACAUACUCGUAAACCCUAGAAUUACGAGUAUGUGGCAGACGUACCCUACCUUAGGGACGUUACAUUUUUUGUUCUUGUAUAAUUCUCAUGUUUGUGAAUAUGAAUCCAUCUUACUUUUUCUCCGUAACCAAUCUUCUCAUUUACGAUUAACAUCCUCUGGGGGCUUUUUUGAGCGAAUAUAUUUCUAUGGAAAAAUAAAACAUCCCGUAGAAAAAGUCUUUGCUGAUGAU